rnacentral:rRNA from 1 species
UUUAAUUCGAUGCAACGCGAGAACCUUACCUACUCUUGACAUCCAGAGAACUUAGCAGAGAUGCUUUGGUGCCUUCGGGAACUCUGAGACAGGUGCUGCAUGGCUGUCGUCAGCUCGUGUUGUGAAAUGUUGGGUUAAGUCCCGCAACGAGCGCAACCCUUAUCCUUGUUUGCCAGCGAGUAAUGUCGGGAACUCCAGGGAGACUGCCGGUGAUAAACCGGAGGAAGGUGGGGACGACGUCAAGUCAUCAUGGCCCUUACGAGUAGGGCUACACACGUGCUACAAUGGCGCAUACAGAGGGCGGCCAACUUGCGAAAGUGAGCGAAUCCCAAAAAGUGCGUCGUAGUCCGGAUUGGAGUCUGCAACUCGACUCCAUGAAGUCGGAAUCGCUAGUAAUCGUGAAUCAGAAUGUCACGGUGAAUACGUUCCCGGGCCUU